rnacentral:rRNA from 1 species
AUUGAACGCUGGCGGCAGGCUUAACACAUGCAAGUCGAACGAGUGGCGGACGGGUGAGUAAUGUCUGGGAAACUGCCUGAUGGAGGGGGAUAACUACUGGAAACGGUAGCUAAUACCGCAUACCAUCAGAUGUGCCCAGAUGGGAUUAGCUAGUUGGUGGGGUGACGGCAUACCAAGGCGACGAUCCCUAGCUGGUCUGAGAGGAUGACCAGCCACACUGGACCUGAGGAACGGUCCAGACUCCUAGGGAAGGCAGAAGUGGGGAAUAUUGGACAAUGGGCGCAAGCCUGAUGCAGCCAUGCCGCGGGUAUGAAGAGGGCCUUCGGGUUGUAAAAUACUUUCAGCGGGGAGGCGUUACCCGCAGAAGAAGCACCGGCUAACUCCGUGCCAGCAGCCGCGGUAAUAC